UACAGAGGGCGCAAGCGUUAAUCGGAAUUACUGGGCGUAAAGCGCACGUAGGCGGCUUGGUAUGUCGGGUGUGAAAGCCCCGGGCUCAACCUGGGAACUGCAUCCGAAACUGCCUUGCUGGAGUAUGGGAGAGGGAAGCGGAAUUUCCGGUGUAGCGGUGAAAUGCGUAGAUAUCGGAAGGAACAUCAGUGGCGAAGGCGGCCUCCUGGACCAAUACUGACGCUCAGGUGCGAAAGCGUGGGGAGCAAACAGG
rnacentral:rRNA from 1 species